rnacentral:rRNA from 1 species
UGGCGGACGGGUGAGUAACGCGUGAACAAUCUACCCUUAAGACCGGGAUAACAUCGGGAAACCGAUGCUAAUACCGGAUAUGCUCACACUGGGGCAUCCCAGAGUGAGGAAAGGGCUUACCGCUUAAGGAUGAGUUCGCGUCCCAUUAGCUAGUUGGUGAGGUAACAGCCCACCAAGGCGACGAUGGGUAGCCGGCCUGAGAGGGUGACCGGCCACACUGGGACUGAGACACGGCCCAGACUCCUACGGGAGGCAGCAGUGGGGAAUAUUGCGCAAUGGGGGGAACCCUGACGCAGCAACGCCGCGUGAGCGAAGAAGGCCUUCGGGUCGUAAAGCUCUGUCAUAAGGGACGAAGUCUCUCUUUAUGAGAGGUGACGGUACCUUAAGAGGAAGCCCCGGCUAACUACGUGCCAGCAGCCGCGGUAACACGUAGGGGGCAAGCGUUGUCCGGAAUUAUUGGGCGUAAA